rfam:Xenopus laevis strain J chromosome 4L, whole genome shotgun sequence.
UACUGUGUAUGAUGAUUUUGAAUUAUCAAUGGGAAUCUCUCCGAACAAUGAUGAGGGAACUCUUCGCACUGAGCCAGUA